GACCCAUUUCCUCGAAAUACACGAUCGUUCUUGGAAUGUUUUACGCCACUCCCAGGUGUAAGCAGAUAGGAUUGCCCACCUUUAGCUACGACAUCCUAUCUGACGGACUCCAUCUGAUCUGUUUACUCCAGUGUCCCCAGCAUCUGGUUAUGCCUGGCACAUGGCAGUAGUUCAAUAGUUUUUCUGAACAAAUGGAUGGUGAAAUGAAGACUAAUGGAUAAAAAUCCAAAGGCCCUGCAGAU
rnacentral:lncRNA from 1 species